rnacentral:rRNA from 1 species
UUAAAAUCUGUAUACUCAUUUUUUGAGUUUUAAGCGGAUCAAAUUACUCGUUCGAGUUUAAUGGGCUCUAACACAACAUUAAGAAUUUAGAUUCCAUGUUAUAAGGUCAAUAUUAUCAAGAGGAGUAGCUCAAUCCCUUAUAAGUUGGUCAAUGUAUUUAUCUUCAUUUGAUGUUGAAUAACAUUAUAGGAUUUCAAUCUUAUUAUGUUGACUUUUGGGAUCGUAGAGAUUAACAAGGAUAGUCAAUGGCAUUUGUAUUUCAUGGUAAGAAAUGAAAUUCUUGAAUUUAUAAAAGACAAACAACAGUGAAAAUAUUUGUCAAUGAUGCAUUCAUUAAGAACGAAAGUGGAGGGAUCAAAGACGAUCAGAUAAUAUCCUAGUCUCAACCAUAAAAUGAUACCGACCAAGGAUUGACAAAUGUUGCUUGUAGGACUCUGCCGAUACCUCAUGAAAUAUCAAAAUUUUUGGGUU